AAAAAAUAUUUAAUUUAGAUAGUAAAAGGUGGUAUAGGUACCGCCAUUGACCUAGUUGCGCCCACGUAAUGCGUUCUUCAUCUUCCGUCCGUAUUCCUCCUGGCUGUGAUUGUGCUUGCAGAAGUGGACAAUGC